rnacentral:rRNA from 1 species
GUCUACAGCCAUGCUACCCUGAACAUACUCGAUCUCAUCUGAUCUCGGAAGCUAAGCAGGGUCGGGCCUGGUUAGUACUUGGAUGGGAGACCACCUAGGAAGACCAGGUGCUGUAGGUG